rnacentral:rRNA from 1 species
UACGUAGGGUGCGAGCGUUGUCCGGAAUUACUGGGCGUAAAGAGCUCGUAGGCGGUUUGUCGCGUCUGCCGUGAAAGUCCGGGGCUCAACUCCGGAUCUGCGGUGGGUACGGGCAGACUAGAGUGAUGUAGGGGAGACUGGAAUUCCUGGGUGUAGCGGUGAAAUGCGCAGAUAUCAGGAGGAACACCGAUGGCGAAGGCAGGUCUCUGGGCAUUAACUGACGCUGAGGAGCUGAAAGCAUGGGGAGCGAACAGG